AUGAUAUACGUUGUGAUGGCACCAAAUCCAUCAGGUCAGUCCCAAGAAAAGAAGAAAACAAAAGAGAAACAGCCUAUGAAGAUACACUAUGACCUGUUAAACCUAAGGAUGAACCAGGCUGAACAGAAAGUGACUUGUGAGCUUAUGAUGCCAGCAAAGUUACCAGAUUUCUACAACCCUCCCCUUGGUGCUGAUCCGGUUGUCCUCCAUGUGAAACAUCCAACCCAAGACAAGCAUUCUGUUACUUUAAUGAGGGAUUGCUUACAUAAGAACCUUCUGCAUGCAAAACUUGUCAGUGACAAAGAUCCAUAUCUGCUAGUCUUUACUGACCGAUACACAGGAAUGUUAACAGCAUACUUCAAGUCCAUCGAACCAUUUGUAGCUAAGUAUGCCGAACCGGGCCGGAUACCAUUCCCGUCCGCUAAGCUUCAAAGUGUUGUGAGUCAAAUGCUUGAUGGUUUGAAGGGACUGUGGUUCUAUGACAAGUACCAUGGAAACUUGAGAUUGGACAACACAUACUACUAUAAGACAAAAGAUGGUGAUGUCGUUGUGAAGUUGGCAAGUUUUAAAUGUCAAGGUACUAAACUUAAAGACCCUGCAAAAAAGGGAAAAGAUAAAACAGAGACUGUUGCACAUUACCAGGCGGAAGAUUUACAAGCAAUGGGCACUGCGCUGGAAGAAAUAUCUCAAAUGGCUAGUGAUUUGAGUGAGAAAGGCUAUCUGUUGGAUUGCAGACAGAUUGACCACCUUGCCGAAAGACUAAAAGAAGUGUCCAAAAUCCAACUGCUUCAGUGGAUGCGACUGUCAUUUCAAGGAAUCAUGGUGUUUUUCUGGUACUAUACUCUUUACUGCCACGACCUCCAAGACCCGUUAACCAGGGGUGAUGUUAAGAUGGUAAAGCAUGCAAGACCAGAGAUGCCAGUGACAGUUAGCAGUUCGAGGACCGUGGCUGCCGUAACAAGGCUUAAAGUAACUGCAGUAUGA
rnacentral:rRNA from 1 species